ensembl:lncRNA
GGGAGAUAAGAAGAGGGGAGGGGGGAGGGGGAUACUUCAGGGCUGUAGGGGAGAGUGAGUGUAGUAUGAAAGGUGAUUUAACCCAACAGAUAUAGCUUACAGGCACCACCACCACGCAAACACCCAACAGACAGACCGUAUACCAGAGAAGUGUGCCCACCCUCUUAGCCACCAUGCUGCACCCUCUUAUGAUUGGCAUCGUCACCGUGAACACUAGCAUGACGGUCAUCUACUGGGCUUUCCUGUUCGGGGAUUUCUACCUGAGGUGGAUGGCCGAAGCAGACGACAAGCCCAAGGACACAGUCAGCCCUGCAUGAGGAAUACCUUCUGGGACUGAAAAACAAGGCAGCUUUCCUGUAGAACAAAGAAUUGAUUUUAGUGCUUGGCAGUGGACUUUUGUUUUUGGUUUUUCUUGUUUCAUCAAAAUUGGCAAGUUUCUAGUUUGCUAUAGUUUACAGUAUUCUAUGUUUGUACUGAAUGGAAGGAUUUCAGCCAAACAAUGAGGAAGGAGUCACACCAACAGAACUAAGCAGGUGGCAGACGAGGAAGAGAAGGGAGAGAGGGGAGAUACGGAAGAGGAAGAUGAUGAUGAUGAAUAAGAGGAGUCUUCCUUCGAGGGAACAGGGGAAUGGGGGAAUCGUACAAUCAUCCAAAUUUAGUCUUUCAGCUUUUCUCACACUUCACGGCGGCACGCCUGUUACAGGCUAACUACGCCAAGCACCGGACACCUCAGGUCCUGAUCCCAGACUGCGUCCUUGGCCCCAAAACAUUGGAUGACGAGGACGUAGAAGCUGAGGGCGUGGACGUGGGGGAAGAGCACUGCAUUAGCACACACAGACGGGUGGAGAUGGAGGAGGUGGAGGAGCGGGAGGAGAGAGAGGGGCUGCUGCCGGGGUCUCGCCUGCGUGAGGAGGCAGGAGCUAGCCCUGCACCGCGAAGCGCUUUGGCAUGCAGCUCUAGAGAAACAAGGACUUCUGCUCAUAAUGUGGUGUUCUCCUGCCCAGUCCUCCCUCAUGGCACAUCUCUCUAAGUUGUGGGAGGGUUAGGGUGUAGCAAUGGGUCUCUUGUUUGAUUUCACUGGUUCAGAUCUCCACUGCAGGCAUUUGUCAACGCAAAAUGGUAAUGAUCUCACAUAAAGGUUACUUCUGUCUUGUACUGUUGAUGUAGUGUUAAUAUGCUAACAUGAUAUUUAUCAGCCAUUUAGUUUGGUUUGGCUUCCCCUGGCUUGGUACUUAAAAUGCGAGAAUAGAUUCUGGGCAUCGUGCUAAGCAGUAGCACUUGAAGGUAAUUUAACUUGAACCAAUUUUCUAAAUGAGACCUCAUUCUAAUUUAAUUUCACAUUUAUUUUUUCACACCUAUUUUCACACCUUAAAAAGGAAAAGCUGUUUCAAGAAGAAUCCAGUGUUUUAUUUUUUUUCUACUAGAAAACAUUGUAGUUCUGUUUCACAUUAUGUGAGGAAAAAACGUGGUGAUUAUUACCUGUUCGGGUCAAUAAAUGUGAAAUAAGUUGUUGUGAGAGUCAACCAGAAAGGUUAUCAUAUUUAAAUAAAAUAUUGCUGUUAGGUGUCUUUUAAUCAACGUAUCCUGGAAUGUUAUCGAGAUGUCACACAAUGCAUUUCUCCAGUAAAGAAUUGAC